UGCCAUCUAUAAACAAAAGUCAUACGUUCGAAAUUAUUAAUAAAACCAACUAUUCAUUAGUCAAGUGAGUCUGUAGUUCUUAAUGAAAUAUAAUACUUCUAGUUAAUUACAUUUGCUUUUCAUUUGUUGAAUUUGCAAUCUAGUAAAGUAGAAUUAUUAAUAAGUUUUCGAAACCUUGUUUAGUUAUGAAGCCUCGGGGCAUAAUUUUCUUGGAUAGGUUUAUUCACGCAGUGCCUUGUUAUCCAUUGUGAAUAUAGGACUACCGAAGUCAUCUUGCAUACAAAUUUUAAGAUGGCCAAAAAGAAAUCAGUGAAGGAGGAGAAGCGAGGAGCUCGAGGCAACCUUAAAACAGCACACCUCCAAGGGAGUGCUGCAGCACUGGCCGGGGACUUCAAGUCAGGCGGUGGCAGUGGUGGGGGCAUGGGGAGCUCGCCAGGCUCUCCCUCACCCAGCAACCCGAAGAAGAAGCGCAGAACCAGCAACCCUCCCCCCUCUAGUCAGGGACCUCCCUCCACACCUCCCAGCAAUGAUCUCGUACCUCCUCCAUUAACAGGCUAUGGUGACACCAUCGUGGCGUCCAACCCUUUUGAUGACUCCCCCUGCAUGCCAUCCUCGUCAGGCAUGCCGCCCAUGCCCCCCAUGAACAUGUCAUACAUGCAUAACAUGGCCAUGUCCAACAUGAACAUGAAGAGCAUGUCAAUGGGUCCUCAUAUGAAUGGGCCCAUGGGUGGGCCAAUGAGUGGCCCAAUGGGUGGUCCAAUGGGGGGACCAAUGGGGGGUCCCAUGAGUGGGCCAAUGGGGCCUGGUGGCCCAAUGGGACCAGGGGGACCAAUGGGACCUGGCGGGCCAAUGGGUCCUGGCGGGCCAAUGGGACCUGGGGGACCAAUGGGCCCAGGCGGGCCAAUGGGACCAGGAGGCCACAUGAAUGGUUCAAUGGGUCCGCGUGGAUCAAUGAAUGGGCCAAUGGGAGGCCCCAUGGGUCCUGGUGGCCCCAUGAAUGGGUCAAUGAACAACCCAAUGAAUGGGCCUGGUAAUGGUAUGAACGGUUCUGGAAUUGGCCCUGGCAAUGGUAUGAAUGGUCCCGGCAUGGGUCCUGGUAUGAACGGUCCCGGUAUGGGCCCAGGCGGCGGGAUGAGCAAUUCAAUGAAUGGUGGUAUGAACGGUGGAAUGAACAUGAAUGGAAUGAAUAGUAUGAAUUGCAGCAUGUCUAUGAACAGCGGGCCCAUGAACAGCAUGAGCCCCAUGACCUCGAUGGCGGGGAUGAACGGCCCCAUGUCCUGCUCCAUGAGUGGCCCUGAUGGGUCCAUGAGUAAUGGGCCCGUGCCCAAUAUGGGGCAGAAGCCCAUGCCCGUCAGCUCUGGGAAGAUUUAUCCGUCAGACCAGCCGAUGGUAUUCAACCCCCAGAACCCUAACGCUCCUCCUAUUUACCCUUGCGGAAUUUGCCACAAGGAAGUGCAUGACAACGACCAAGCCAUCCUGUGCGAGUCUGGCUGUAACUUCUGGUUCCAUAGAGUGUGCACAGGCCUGACAGAAAGCGCCUACCACCUUCUCACUGCUGAGGUCUACGCCGAGUGGGUGUGCGACAAAUGUUUAAACUCCAAGAAUAUCCCGCUUGUCAAGUUCAAACCAUAGCAACAAAUGUUUAUAACCAAACAUAAGGCUUCCUGAUGCUGCUGCUCUGCUUUGUGUUUGAUUAUAAACUGUUGUGUGUGGGCUCCGAGGCUCCCUUUAAUGCCCUCACCUGAUUAUUGUUGUGUCAACGUCCGCUCUAUAUUUAUUGAAUAUAGUGUUUUGUAAAUAAGCUAUCAAAUUGUUUUGUAAAUAAGAAGCCUCAACUAAGUGGUAGUGAACAAGUCGGAUGCGCCAUAAUUUGUCUUGGUGUUACUGUAGUUAAUUUCCGUUUCAAUGAUGUGCCUAAUUGAAAUGUAAUUGUUCAACAAUUCAGUAUCAAAUAAACAGAGCUUAUUUACUUUGGUAACAAGUUCACUCUUCUGAUUAGGGCCAGAAGCGAUCUUCAUUGCCCUUGUAUCAACCUGGGUUUGCUACGAAUGAUUACAUUUUAAUAUUUAUGUAGUUUGGAAAUAAAAUGGCUUGCGUGUUUGUACUGUAAGUCGAAUAUAAAUAGCAAGAGCGCGUUCUUUUGUUUGUACAUUGCCGCAAUUCGCUCUAUAUCUUCUUGUGCUGUCAUUAUUGUGUUCCGCUCUCAGCUCGUCGCGAGUCUGGUGUACAAAUUAUUUCAAUUAUUGCAUUUCGUUUAUUAUUGUUUUUUAAGCGUUUAGUUUGAUGUAACUUUAAUUUAAAAAUAUGUUAUUUUUAACUAGGCUCUAAUUUGUCAAGGAAUGUUGCGAUAUUUAUUCACCAUGUAGUUAGGUGACCAUCCUGACAGCUAAAUGAGGACUUUGUUGACUUCUUGACACUUUAUUCAGUUUACAGGUCUGUGCGAGAUUAGCAGUAAAUUAUCUGAUGCCUGGCGCUCCUUGGUCUCCUGUUAUUAAUAUUUAUUUCCUGUUGAUCCAAUUAGUUUUGUGCAUUUGAUUUGUUUACCUGUGAAUGGCUUCAUUGAGUCAGCCUAUGCCGAGUAGGGUAAAUGGGACUACUUACCGCUGGAUGGGUAACUCGAUAGUACGUGCAGCUUGAAGGUUAUGGGGGAACUACUUGCCGCUAUAAAGGUUAUUGGGGAACUACUUGCUGCUAUAAAGGUUAUGGGGGAACUACUUGCUGCUAUAAAGGUUAUGGGGGAACUGCUUGCUGCUAUAAAGGUUAUGGGGGAACUACUUGCUGCUAUAAAGGUUAUGGGGGAACUGCUUGCUGCUAUAAAGGUUAUGGGGAACUACUUGCUGCUAUAAAGGUUAUGGGGGAACUACUUGCUACUAUAAAGGUUAUGGGGGAACUAGGUACUUGUCGAUGGAUUUAAGUUAACCACUUACGUGAGCUCGCUUAAUGCAUAAAGGCGAUGACGUCACGUCACUGUGACUCCUAGAGUCUAGGCGUUGUAAAGAUAAUCUCGAGCUACUUGUACAUAGAUUAUAUUUAAGAUAAUGUCGAGGCAGCUUUGUAAAUAUGGUUAACUAUGUUUUUUUUAUUCGCUUUUGGAACGUAGUGUAUUUCAGUGCAUUAAUUCUUCUCGGUCGUUGAGAUAUUGUGAAGUAAAUGUAUAGAAGAUGC
rnacentral:misc_RNA from 1 species